rnacentral:rRNA from 1 species
AUGAACGCUAGCGACAGGCUUAACACAUGCAAGUCGAGGGGCAGCGGGGGUAGCGAUACCCGCCGGCGACCGGCGCACGGGUGAGUAACGCGUAUGCAACUUGCCUAUCAGAGGGGGAUAACCCGGCGAAAGUCGGACUAAUACCGCAUGAAGCAGGGAUCCCGCAUGGGAAUAUUUGCUAAAGAUUCAUCGCUGAUAGAUAGGCAUGCGUUCCAUUAGGCAGUUGGCGGGGUAACGGCCCACCAAACCGACGAUGGAUAGGGGUUCUGAGAGGAAGGUCCCCCACAUUGGUACUGAGACACGGACCAAACUCCUACGGGAGGCAGCAGUGAGGAAUAUUGGUCAAUGGCCGAGAGGCUGAACCAGCCAAGUCGCGUGAGGGAUGAAGGUUCUAUGGAUCGUAAACCUCUUUUAUAAGGGAAUAAAGUGCGGGACGUGUCCCGUUUUGUAUGUACCUUAUGAAUAAGGAUCGGCUAACUCCGUGCCAGCAGCCGCGGUAAUACGGAGGAUCCGAGCGUUAUCCGGAUUUAUUGGGUUUAAAGGGUGCGUAGGCGGCCUUUUAAGUCAGCGGUGAAAGUCUGUGGCUCAACCAUAGAAUUGCCGUUGAAACUGGGGGGCUUGAGUAUGUUUGAGGCAGGCGGAAUGCGUGGUGUAGCGGUGAAAUGCAUAGAUAUCACGCAGAACCCCGAUUGCGAAGGCAGCCUGCCAAGCCAUUACUGACGCUGAUGCACGAAAGCGUGGGGAUCAAACAGGAUUAGAUACCCUGGUAGUCCACGCAGUAAACGAUGAUCACUAGCUGUUUGCGAUACACUGUAAGCGGCACAGCGAAAGCGUUAAGUGAUCCACCUGGGGAGUACGCCGGCAACGGUGAAACUCAAAGGAAUUGACGGGGGCCCGCACAAGCGGAGGAACAUGUGGUUUAAUUCGAUGAUACGCGAGGAACCUUACCCGGGUUUGAACGCAUUCGGACCGAGGUGGAAACACCUUUUCUAGCAAUAGCCGUUUGCGAGGUGCUGCAUGGUUGUCGUCAGCUCGUGCCGUGAGGUGUCGGCUUAAGUGCCAUAACGAGCGCAACCCUUGCCACUAGUUACUAACAGGUGAUGCUGAGGACUCUGGUGGGACUGCCAGCGUAAGCUGCGAGGAAGGCGGGGAUGACGUCAAAUCAGCACGGCCCUUACAUCCGGGGCGACACACGUGUUACAAUGGCGUGGACAAAGGGAGGCCACCUGGCGACAGGGAGCGAAUCCCCAAACCACGUCUCAGUUCGGAUCGGAGUCUGCAACCCGACUCCGUGAAGCUGGAUUCGCUAGUAAUCGCGCAUCAGCCAUGGCGCGGUGAAUACGUUCCCGGGCCUUGUACACACCGCCCGUCAAGCCAUGGGAGCCGGGGGUACCUGAAGUCCGUAACCGAAAGGAUCGGCCUAGGGUAAAACUGGUGACUGGGGCU